CUCCAACCAGAGCACAAGGAUAAGAGGAAAAUCUAUGCUAUUUAGUUACCAGAAAUAGAUGAAUGGCUGCUGGGGAGCAUAGAGGCCACCGAUAUGGUCCUGGAGGGCCGCCCCUCCUCACUGCAGCCUGCCUGCUCCCCUUGUGCCUCUGUGUCCAGCUGGAGCCCAAUGCCUGCUGUUCACUUCUCUGACUUCUGCCUCCUCAGCGGUUCUAGGAAGGAAAACAGGAGAGAGCCCUGAGCCCUGACCUUCUUCUGUCACCAUCAGCUUGUGAUAUCUUCUCAGGCCAGCUCUAGCCAACUCUGUGACUGUUUCCACAGGUGCCGAUGUUGGCAUCAUGUCUAACUUCUGCUGCUUCUCAAAGUUGCCAUGAUAAUCUCAUUAGAGAG
rnacentral:lncRNA from 1 species